rnacentral:tRNA from 1 species
GGCGAGGUAGCUCAACGGUGGAGCAGUGGACUCAUAAGCCAUUGGUUGUGGGUUCAAAUCCCACCCUCGCCACUA